GCAAGAUUAAAACUCAAAGGAAUAGACGGGGACCCGCACAAGUGGUGGAGCAUGUGGUUUAAUUCGAAGAUACGCGAAGAACCUUACCUAGCCUUGACAUAUUUUAGAACUCAGCAGAGAUGCAGAGGUGCCUUCGGGAGCUAAUUUACAGGUGCUGCACGGCUGUCGUCAGCUCGUGUCGUGAGAUGUUGGGUUAAGUCCCGCAACGAGCGCAACCCUCGUCACUAGUUACUAACGGUUCGGCCGAGGACUCUAGUGAGACUGCCUUCGUAAGGAGGAGGAAGGUGAGGACGACGUCAAGUCAUCAUGGCCCUUACGGCUAGGGCAACACACGUGCUACAAUGGCCAGGACAGUGAGACGCAAUACCGCGAGGUGGAGCAAAUCUAUAAACCUGGUCUCAGUUCGGAUUGUUCUCUGCAACUCGAGAACAUGAAGCUGGAAUCACUAGUAAUCGUAGAUCAGCUAUGCUACGGUGAAUACGUUCCCGGGUCUUGUACUCACCGCCCGUCACACCAUGGGAGUUGAUUUCACCCGAAGCGGGGAAGCUAAACUGGCUACCCUCCACGGUGGAAUUAGCGACUGGGGUGAAGUCGUAACAAGGUA
rnacentral:rRNA from 1 species